rnacentral:rRNA from 1 species
UACGUAGGUCCCGAGCGUUGUCCAGAUUUAUUGGGCGUAAAGCGAGCGCAGGUGGUUUAUUAAGUCUGGUGUAAAAGGCAGUGGCUUAACCAUUGUAUGCAUUGGAAACUGGUAGACUUGAGUGCAGGAGAGGAGAGUGGAAUUCCAUGUGUAGCGGUGAAAUGCGUAGAUAUAUGGAGGAACACCGGUGGCGAAAGCGGCUCUCUGGCCUGUAACUGACACUGAGGCUCGAAAGCGUGGGGAGCAAACAGG